CUUGCAUUGUGCUGGCCUUUACAAGACAGCUGAGAUACUAAAAGGGGGGAAGUUGUCAUCCAGAAGCUGUCGAUCCUUCUGUCGCUCUCCUGAUCUGCUGCCGCCAAUUUUAUCUCAACUCUGGCUGGAUGGAUAAAAGACUCGACGUUUGCCUUCUCCGAGCAAUUAACAGCCUUCAGGUCACGACGCCAAGUCCACUGACAAUGUUGUUAGUCUUUGUUAGUCUUGCUUGUAUUUGCCUUCUUUCAUUCUGUCUGUGUGCACACAGCUUGUCAAUGUUCGUGCUUUUUAUCAUUUACUUUUUGAUGUCAGUAAAAAAAAAACCCUGUUUUUACUGUCAGUGACGUGAGUAUACUGUUAAAGAGCACUAGUGAAAGAUUCUUCAUGACUCUGGUCCUCAUUUUGUCUUUGGUAAUAUGAUUAAACCUCGAGACACUGUAAAUUAAAUUUCAUAUCCUGUGAUGUCUCACUUUUCCGAUGUGUAUUUUUGGCCUUCAUCAUCUCGUUCUUCCUACUUUUCAACCUUCUUCUCCUAUUGAGAGUUAAGAUGCAGCUCACAUGCGCACCUCUCUUUACAGUAUUGAGAAGAGAUAGGGAUGUACUCUCCCUCUUCUCUCAUUCUCUCUAUCAUAUCUUCAAUUCCUUGUGUGUCUGGGUGUGUGUGUGUGUGUGUGUGUGUGUGUGUGUGCACUCACAGGAAGUGACAUAACGGUGUUUCUUGCAAAGUGUCCCUAUCACCAGCUGUUAAUGAGCUUCUGUUUCUACAUCUCUUACCUGAACUGUGACAAGACAUUGACUGUAAUAUUAGAGAAAUAAAGUCCACAGUCUAACUGUUUCUUCAA